AUAGUCUUUAGCAAUAAUAACUUGAAAGAGAUUCUGAUUGAAAAUGUAAGAGGUCAUACAUCUUAAUAAUAAUAAUAACUUGCUUUAAGUAUUUUAGUUCGUUGGAGUGAUCACAGCUAGUGGGUCGGAUCGUUACAGUUAGUAUACCAGCCAAAACUGUAAGAACUAAGUGCUUGCAUAUUUGGGGCAAAGUGCUACUCUACGAAUUUGGUGAGAGCUACUUCUUGAGCCAAUAGGAGCCACUUCAGAAUCUCAUAUCGUCUGAUAAUUCUAAUAUAUAUAUAUAUAUUUGUGAUCGUGUUUAGACCUGACGAAUACAUCAGAAUCUAAAUAGGGACGGAAGAGUCUGUAAUGUCUUAAUAGUCCCACGCCAGAUAAAAAAAGGGAUUCUAAUUGGCCAUAAUAGUUUCACAUCAAAAUAGGCCCCAAUAGUUCUACAUUCGAUGAAAAAAUUCUAAUUGAAAAUAUAAGAGGUCACUUCUCAUUGUCCCAAUAGUUUCACCUUUUAUGAAAAAAAAAAGGAGUUCUAAUUGAAAAUAUAAAAAAUCAUGCACCUUAAUGAUCUUAAAUAUUUUUAACUCAAUCAGUUAUUAUCAUUAGUACAUGGGAUAGUAAGACAGGCAUAACCAAAUUCAAUCUUAACAAGUGUGCUUUUCAUAUCGAUUGUUUUUAAAGUAAGUGGCAAAAGGUUUGGUGGUUGGUAUUCGAGACCUAAGUUCGAAUCCUAGUUGAUUCACAUUUUCAGCUAAGUUUAUUUUUAAAUAAAAUAAACAAAGUGGGUAGCGUGUUAUCUAUCUCUUUCUGUAAAAA
rnacentral:lncRNA from 1 species